UUGGGGAUUUAGCUCAGUUGGUAGAGUUUGUGUCUCACAUGCACAAGGCCCUGGGUUCAAUCCCCAGCACCAAA